GGUUCCAUAGUGUAGCGGUUAGCACACCUGCCUUGAAAGCAGAGAGUCCUGGCUUCGAUUCCCAGAGGAACCA